rfam:Eubacterium sp. CAG:161 genomic scaffold, scf159
GGGCUAGUACUGGUUUCGACAGGGAUUUGGAAGUUGGUGAAGCUAUCCGCAGGUGAUGCGUCAAAUCACAAAUUAAAAUUAAACGCUGAAGAUAAUUUAGCAUACGCUGCCUAGUUGCAGCUGUCUGAUCUAAGAGGCCUACGGCUUAGAUUCAGGCAUCGACACUUGUAGGGAACCCUAUAUACAAAGCUUUGAGUAUGUAGGAGUAACAUGAAGCUACUGAAGACUGAAGGAUGCUGUUUUUCGUCAGUCAGAGGGAAUGUCAAAUAAUCAGCUAUGAUAGUAGAAGAACGAUGGAAGGGUUUUUGGACAUGGGUUCGACUCCCAUCUAGUCCACUA